GAUGAAGAACGCAGCGAAAUGCGAUAAGUAAUGUGAAUUGCAGAAUUCAGUGAAUCAUCGAAUCUUUGAACGCACAUUGCGCCCGCCAGUACUCUGGCGGGCAUGCCUGUUCGAGCGUCAUUUCAACCAUCAAGCCCUAGGCUUGUGUUGGGGACCUGCGGCUGCCGCAGGCCCUGAAAACCAGUGGCGGGCUCGCUGUCACACCGGGCGUAGUAGAUUUUAUCUCGCUCAGGGCGUGCUGCGGGUUCCGGCCGUUAAAAAGCCUUUUUUACCCAAGGUUGACCUCGGAUCAGGUAGGAAGACCCGCUGAACUUAAGCAUAUCAAUAAGCGGAGGA
rnacentral:misc_RNA from 1 species